GACGAACGCUGGCGGCGUGCUUAACACAUGCAAGUCGUGCGGAAAGGCCCCUUUGGGGGUGCUCGAGCGGCGAACGGGUGAGUAACACGUGAGUAAUCUGCCCUGCACUUUGGGAUAACUGCCGGAAACGGUGGCUAAUACUGGAUAGGACUGCAUCCUGCAUGGGGUGUGGUGGAAAGCCUUUGGGUGGUGUGGGAUGUGCUCGCGGCCUAUCAGCUUGAUGGUGGGGUAGUGGCCUACCAUGGCUUUGACGGGUAGCCGGCCUGAGAGGGUGACCGGUCACACUGGGACUGAGACACGGCCCAGACUCCUGCGGGAGGCAGCAGUGGGGAAUAUUGGACAAUGGGCGGAAGCCUGAUCCAGCAACGCCGCGUGAGGGAUGACGGCUCGG
rnacentral:rRNA from 1 species